GGGUGAAAUCUGGUGCCCGGGUGUGGUUGAACAUGAAGUUGAUAUUUCUUUAGGCUAUUAAGUCUUGGGUCUAGAACAGGAUUAGAUACCCUGCUAUACCAAGUUAAAAAUAAGUCGCUUGAGUAGUAAAUAGUUAUAUUCUCGAAACUUAAAGGAUUUGGCGGUAUCUUAGUCUUGUUAGAGGAAUCUGUUCUAUAAACGAUAAACCACGAAGUAUCUGACUCUUUUUUGUAUAACAGUAUGUAUACCGCCAUUAUUAGAUAAUUUUUAUAAAAAUUUAUUGUGAUAAUUAAAUAGUUAGUAUAUUAGGUCAAGGUGCAGCUAAUAGAAGAGCAAGCAAUGGAUUACAAUGAAAUAAGUGUAAGACGAAUUUUUGGGUGAAGCCCCAGUCUGAAGGUGGAUUUAAUAGUAAUUUUUGUUUAAUAAGCAAUCUUGAUAGAAGCUCUAAGAUAUGUA
rnacentral:rRNA from 1 species